CUGGCUUUGUGUUUGUUCUUGAAUUUUCAGUUACACUAGUAACUAUCAAGGUUUCAGGACAAUUGUUACAUCUGUAUCAUGUUCAUAAUGGUCUUACGAGCUAUUGAACCAUCUACUUGGUUGUGUUUACUUCGCGUGAGCCGAGCAUUUCAAAUAUGGAUACAUCUUCGAAAGUACGCUAUUGUGGGCUGAAGGAAGAACUGAAUAUCUAUACAAAGAUCUGAGCCUGCUGUUGCAGCGACUCCUGACAAUGAUGAUGAGUUCGCCAAAUGGCAAGAGGAGGUUAGAAAAGCUGAACUCGAAGCUGAGGCUUUGAAGCAUGGCUCAAAAUUAAAUGAUGUUGGUGGGUCAGAUCAGUUGAAAGACUUGGAGGUUAUAAUAUGGACACAGAAACCACUUGUAUUCGAGAACCAUCC